CCUACGUGAGGCAGCAGUGAGGAAUAUUGGUCAAUGGCCGGAAGGCUGAACCAGCCAUGCCGCGUGAAGGUCAGUGCCCUAUGGGCGUUAAACUUCUUUUGUGCGGGAGCAAUAAUGGUCACGUGUGGCCAGACGAGAGUACCGUACGAAUAAGCAUCGGCUAACUCCGUGCCAGCAGCCGCGGUAAUACGGGGGAUGCAAGCGUUAUCCGGGUUUAUUGGGUUUAAAGGGUGCGUAGGCUGUGAGGUAAGUCAGCGGUGAAAUGCCGCCGCUCAACGGGGUGAAGUGCCAUUGAUACUGCCUUGCUGGAAUGCGGAUGCGGUGGGAGGAAUGUGUGGUGUAGCGGUGAAAUGCAUAGAUAUCACACAGAACACCGAUUGCGAAGGCAUCUCACGAAGCCGCGAUUGACGCUGAUGCACGAAAGCGUGGGUAUCAAACAGGAUUAGAUACCCCAGUAGUC
rnacentral:rRNA from 1 species